rnacentral:rRNA from 1 species
UACGAAGGGGGCUAGCGUUGCUCGGAAUCACUGGGCGUAAAGCGCACGUAGGCGGAUUGCUAAGUCAGGGGGUGAAAUCCUGGAGCUCAACUCCAGAACUGCCUUUGAUACUGGCGACCUUGAGUCCGGGGAGAGGUGAGUGGAACUGCGAGUGUAGAGGUGAAAUUCGUAGAUAUUCGCAAGAACACCAGUGGCGAAGGCGGCUCACUGGCCCGGUACUGACGCUGAGGUGCGAAA